rnacentral:rRNA from 1 species
AACGAACGCUGGCGGCAGGCUUAACACAUGCAAGUCGAACGCCCCGCAAGGGGAGUGGCAGACGGGUGAGUAACGCGUGGGAAUCUACCGUACCCUACGGAAUAACGCAUGGAAACGUGUGCUAAUACCGUAUACGCCCUACGGGGGAAAGAUUUAUCGGGGUAUGAUGAGCCCGCGUUGGAUUAGCUAGUUGGUGGGGUAAAGGCCUACCAAGGCGACGAUCCAUAGCUGGUCUGAGAGGAUGAUCAGCCACAUUGGGACUGAGACACGGCCCAAACUCCUACGGGAGGCAGCAGUGGGGAAUAUUGGACAAUGGGCGCAAGCCUGAUCCAGCCAGGCCGCGUGAGUGAUGAAGGUCUUAGGAUUGUAAAGCUCUUUCACCGGAGAAGAUAAUGACGGUAUCCGGAGAAGAAGCCCCGGCUAACUUCGUGCCAGCCGCCGCCGUAACAC